rnacentral:rRNA from 1 species
AGAGUUUGAUCCUGGCUCAGGAUGAACGCUGGCGGCGUGCUUAACACAUGCAAGUCGAACGAUCCUUCGGGAUAGUGGCGGACGGGUGAGUAACGCGUGGGAAUCUGCCCUCAGGAGGGGGAUAACGGCUGGAAACGGCCGCUAAUACCCCAUAUGCCGAGAGGUGAAAUGAAUUUCGCCUGAGGAUGAGCCCGCGUCUGAUUAGCUAGUUGGUGGGGUAAAGGCCUACCAAGGCAACGAUCAGUAGCUGGUCUGAGAGGAUGAUCAGCCACACUGGGACUGAGACACGGCCCAGACUCCUACGGGAGGCAGCAGUGGGGAAUUUUCCGCAAUGGGCGAAAGCCUGACGGAGCAACGCCGCGUGAGGGAUGAAGGCCUCUGGGCUGUAAACCUCUUUUCUCAAGGAAGAAGACCUGACGGUACUUGAGGAAUAAGCCACGGCUAAUUCCGUGCCAGCAGCCGCGGUAAUACGGGAGUGGCAAGCGUUAUCCGGAAUUAUUGGGCGUAAAGCGUCCGCAGGCGGCCUUGUAAGUCUGUUGUUAAAGCGUGGAGCUCAACUCCAUUUAAGCAAUGGAAACUACAAGGCUGGAGUGUGGUAGGGGCAGAGGGAAUUCCCGGUGUAGCGGUGAAAUGCGUAGAUAUCGGGAAGAACACCAGUGGCGAAGGCGCUCUGCUGGGCCAUAACUGACGCUCAUGGACGAAAGCCAGGGGAGCGAAAGGGAUUAGAUACCCCUGUAGUCCUGGCCGUAAACGAUGAACACUAGGUGUCGGGGGAAUCGACCCCCUCGGUGUCGUAGCCAACGCGUUAAGUGUUCCGCCUGGGGAGUACGCACGCAAGUGUGAAACUCAAAGGAAUUGACGGGGGCCCGCACAAGCGGUGGAGUAUGUGGUUUAAUUCGAUGCAACGCGAAGAACCUUACCAGGGUUUGACAUCCUGCGAACCCCUGAGAAAUCGGGGGGUGCCUUCGGGAGCGCAGAGACAGGUGGUGCAUGGCUGUCGUCAGCUCGUGUCGUGAGAUGUUGGGUUAAGUCCCGCAACGAGCGCAACCCACGUCUUUAGUUGCCAGCAUUCAGUUGGGCACUCUAGAGAGACCGCCGGUGAUAAACCGGAGGAAGGUGUGGAUGACGUCAAGUCAUCAUGCCCCUUACAUCCUGGGCUACACACGUACUACAAUGCUACGGACAAAGGGCAGCAAGCUCGCGAGAGUUAGCAAAUCCCAUAAACCGUGGCUCAGUUCAGAUCGUAGGCUGCAACUCGCCUACGUGAAGGAGGAAUCGCUAGUAAUCGCAGGUCAGCAUACUGCGGUGAAUACGUUCCCGGGCCUUGUACACACCGCCCGUCACACCAU